CGGCGGACGGGUGAGUAACGCGUGGGUAACCUGCCUCAUACAGGGGGAUAACAGUUGGAAACGGCUGCUAAUACCGCAUAAGCGCACAGUACCGCAUGGUACGGUGUGAAAAACUCCGGUGGUAUGAGAUGGACCCGCGUCUGAUUAGGUAGUUGGUGGGGUAACGGCCACCAAGCCGACGAUCAGUAGCCGACCUGAGAGGGUGACCGGCCACAUUGGGACUGAGACACGGCCCAA
rnacentral:rRNA from 1 species